rnacentral:rRNA from 1 species
CCUACGGGCGGCAGCAGUGAGGAAUAUUGGUCAAUGGACGAGAGGCUGAACCAGCCAAGUAGCGUGAAGGAGGACUGCGCUGUGGGUUGCAGACUUCUUUUAUAUGGGGAUAAAAGGUUCGACGCGUGGGGUUCUGUAGGUACCAGAUGAAUAAGGAUCGGCUAACUCCGUGCCAGCAGCCGCGGUAAUACGGAGGAUCCGAGCGUUAUCCGGAUUUAUUGGGUUUAAAGGGAGCGUAGGUGGGUUGUUAAGUCAGUUGUGAAAGUGUGGGGCUCAACCGUAAAAGUGCAGUUGAAACUGGGAGUCUUGAGUGCAGCAGAGGUGAGCGGAAUUCGUGGUGUAGCGGUGAAAUGCUUAGAUAUCACGAAGAACUCCGAUUGCGAAGGCAGCUCACUGGACUGCAACUGACGCUGAGGCUCGAAAGUGUGGGUAUCAAACAGGAUUAGAUACCCGAGUAGUC